UGUAUCUCGGGCGCGUCCGACCGAGCGCCUGCUCGCGCUCGUCCCCGUCGAACCCCUUCACCGGCGAUGGCCAGGAGGAUAAGGCCUCCACCGAGGCACCCCCCAUAGAUAUUUUCUUCCCCUGCCUCCGCCCACUUCCACAUGCCCCGGCGCUCUCCACUCACCUCGCUCUCUCCCUCCUCACUGAUUCCCCAUCUCCCGAGCGCGGCCGUCACCGACCACCAUGCUUCGUCGCGGCCACCGGCGUUACUGCGCCCGCAGCUCGUGUCCACGAGCAUAGCCUCGUUCGUCUCCGUCGACUGGAGCCGUCCAUUUGAGCCGGGCGAUGCCAUUGUGCGCAGAUCGAGCCGGUCUUGUCUUCUGCAUCACCGGCAAUCCUCGUCGACCUCGCUCUGCCACAACCACCGGCCACCUCUCGCCCCGCUGUUGCGUCCGCGAAGACCGCCGCCGUCCACUACAUCCUCUACGCCAACAAACACGAGCCGGGGAGCACAUCUGCGACCACUACGACUCCAUCUUCCUCCUUCGACCGCCGCCGAUCUCCUCCGAUCCCGGCGUCUUCUUCAUCUGCGACGAGCUCUGCAGCUCCUAAACCUCCCGCCGAGCCUCCGUGUGCUCCUAGACCUCGAGACCGCUGCUGAUGCCCCUGUGAUCGACUAUGUCGACGACGACCCUCCUUGUCUGAGCAACCAGGCAAGCCCUCCCUUUGAUCAUCCCGAUAUCGCCCAUUCUAUA